AACGAACGCUGGCGGCAGGCCUAACACAUGCAAGUCGAGCGAGAUCUUCGGGUCUAGCGGCGGACGGGUGAGUAACGCGUGGGAAUAUGCCUCUUGGUACGGAAUACCCUCGGGAAACUGGGAGUAAUACCGUAUGUGCUCUUUUGGGGAAAGAUUUAUCGCCAAGGGAUUAGCCGGCGUUGGAUUAGGUAGUUGGUGGGGUAAUGGCCUACCAAGCCGAGGAUCCAUAGCUGGGUUGAGAGGAUGAGCCGCCACACUGGGACUGAGACACGGCCCAGACUCCUACGGGAGGCAGCAGUGGGGAAUCUUAGACAACGGGGGCAACCCUGAUCUAGCCAUGCCGCGUGAGUGAUGAAGGCCUUAGGGUUGUAAAGCUCUUUAAGCUGGGAAGAUAAUGACGGUACCAGCAGAAGAAGCCCCGGCUAACUCCGUG
rnacentral:rRNA from 1 species